rnacentral:rRNA from 1 species
CCUACGGGCUGCAGCAGUGGGGAAUAUUGGACAAUGGGCGAAAGCCUGAUCCAGCCAUGCCGCGUGUGUGAAGAAGGCCUUCGGGUUGUAAAGCACUUUCAGUGGGGAAGAAAGCCUUGGGGCUAAUACCCUCGAGGAAGGACAUCACCCACAGAAGAAGCACCGGCUAACUCCGUGCCAGCAGCCGCGGUAAUACGGAGGGUGCGAGCGUUAAUCGGAAUUACUGGGCGUAAAGCGCGCGUAGGCGGUCUGAUAAGCCGGUUGUGAAAGCCCCGGGCUCAACCUGGGAACGGCAUCCGGAACUGUCAGGCUAGAGUGCAGGAGAGGAAGGUAGAAUUCCCGGUGUAGCGGUGAAAUGCGUAGAGAGCGGGAGGAAUACCAGUGGCCAAGGCGGCCUUCUGGACUGACACUGACGCUGAGGUGCGAAAGCGUGGGUAGCAAACAGGAUUAGAUACCCGGGUAGUC